CCUAGUAACUGCGAGUGAAGCGGGAAAAGCUCAAAUUUAAAAUCUGGUGGUCUUUUUAAGGCUACCCGAAUUGUAAUCUAGAGAAGUGUUAUCCGCGCUGGACMGUGUACAAGUCWCCUGGAAUGGAGCCUCAUAGAGGGUGAGAAUCMCGUCUCUGACAUGGACWACCAGGGCUUUUGUGAUGCGCUCUCWAAGAGUCGAGUUGUUUGGGAAUGCAGCUCAAWAUGGGUGGUAAAUUCCAUCUAAAGCWAAAUAUUGGCGAGAGACMGAUAGCGAACAAGUACCGUGAGGGAAAGAUGAMWAGAACUUUGGAAAGAGAGUUAAAC
rnacentral:rRNA from 1 species